AUAUGUUUAUGCUUAUACAACAUGUAUAUGUAUGUAUGUAUACAGCAUCCGCUUUCAUACACACACAUACACACUGGUAAUACAGAAAACGAGGCUGCUUUGUGGGGAUUGUUGAGGUGUGUGCGUGGGUGUGUGUGGUAGCGCCUCUAAAACAUUUUCACUUUUUCUUUAUUGCAGAUCUCAACUUUACAGCUGACGGUUGUAAGUUCGAAAGAUCUCAAAGAGAGAAGAAUAUAAACAAAGAAAGCAGAACAAUAAGAGCAAGCGCAGUCAAAUAUUCUACAAGAUCUCAACUUUACAGCUGACGGUUGUAAGUUCGAAAGAUCUCAAAGAGAGAAGAAUAUAAACAAAGAAAGCAGAAUAAUAAGAGCAAGCGCAGUCAAAUAUUCUACAAGUGAGAAUUUUGCCGAGUGAUUUGCUGCAGGAAUUCUUGGUCGAGGAAAGUAACAC